UGUGGUGUGGUCAAAAGAGAGUGCUUCUUUGCGGCUGCCAUAGCCACGGAGCUCUUCCUUCUUCUUCCUCUCCAUUCUUGCUUGUGGUGUGGAUCCAUUGAUUCAUCUUUGCGGAGAGAUGAGCGCUGGAGUGGGAAUUCCUGGUCCCUGGAGCUUGGAAUCGCAGCCCAUUAGCUCCGGGUUCUUGGCGGUGCCUGGGAAUCGCGGUGCCCGAUUCGAUGCGCGAGUCGAGAGAUCGAGACAUUACGACAUUCCAUCGAGCGACAGCGAGAGCGGUGACGAUCUGGACGACAUUGGCGAUGAUUUCCUGGACGAGUCCGGGGAUUUCAUCGACCAUGGAUCGGGCGCGGGGAUCGAGAGCUGCGGGAGUAACAUCUCAUCGCCCAUUGAGAUUUGCCCCAAGACCGAGGGCGCGACGAGGAUCCUCCGCCAGAAAUCCCGGCGAUGCGCGGCGGAGCAGUCGCGGGAGGAGGCCUGGGAGCGGCGCCGCUUGAUCGAGGAGCUCAAGUCCUCGUCAUCGGAGCACUCGAGCAAGCUCAUCGCGCGCUCCAAUUCCGACUGUGGUCCGCAGCAGCCAUCGCUCCACAGCGAUGAGGAUCUGGGCGAUUGCCCGCGAUCGAGGAGCCUGACCGAGGAGGAUUUCGAGGAGCUGCGCGGCUGCAUUGAUCUGGGCUUCCGAUUCAAUGCCGAGAAGGAAGACCCAAUGCUGUGUAACACUCUCCCCGCGCUCGAGGUGUGCUACGCCGCCAAUCGGCAGCUCCAGGAUCUACACUCGCCCUCUGGAUCGAGCGAUUCGUGUUCGUCUUGGCAGGUCGCUAGCCCAGGUACGAGAAUUUCUUUCUUUCUUUCUAGUUCCUCCUUGGCAGCGUAAUUUAGGGUUCUUCGUGAGCUAACCACAAGAACGAUGGAGAAGAAGCUCUGUUUUCUCUUGUUUCUCUUUAGCUUUUCUUUGCAGAGCUCUAAAAGCCAGGCCUAGCAAUCGCUCCUCUACUCUAGAGGAGAGGAGCUCCAACAAGUGAAAGAGAAGCUCAAGCAUUGGGCUCGUGCCGUGGCUUGCAUUUCCAGGCAAUCGUGCUAGCUGCUAGCUACCGAGAUUUUCAUAACGACACAAAAAUUUUGGUAGCUCUCUCCAAACAAUGUGAUAUACUUCCACCAAGAACCCUAAAAUCAAUAACAAAACUGUAUAGAAUGUUCUUCGCGCGA